ensembl:lncRNA
GUGUGUGUGUGUGUGUGUGUGUGUGUGUGUGUGUGUGUGUGUGUGUGUGUGUGUGUGUGCAGUGUGUGUGUGUGUGUGUGUGUGUGUGUGUGUGUGUGUGUGUGUGUGUGUGUGUGUGUGUGUGUGUGUGUGUGUGUGUGUGCUGUGUGUGCAGUGUGUGUGUGUGUGUGUGUGUGUGUGUGCAGUGUGUGUGUGUGACCUCAUCAUUGAGAGAAGUUCCUGUUUUGUUAAGAAGGAACAGAAACAGCAUUAAACCAUCAGAGCCUCAAGAUGAAAGCUUGUCACACUCUGGUCUGCUUCAUCAUCCUUACACAGCAGGAUGGUCGUGUCAAUGCAGAAACAGCCAGUCACAGAAAAAUGGAAGGAGAAGACAUCACACUUGAAUGCAGGUUCUAUAUCCGUGGAAGCAGGAGGCUCUUCUGUAAAGAAGAAUGUGAAAAGGGAAACAUUCUGAUUAGUACAACUGCUGACACAUUUCAGAGUGGCAGAUACAGCAUUCAAUAUGUCAAAAAAGGUGUUUCACAUACUAUGUAUGUGAAGAUCACACAGCUGAAACAGUCUGACUCAGGACGGUACAAGUGUACUUUGGACAGCACUUUGAAACCAGAUUAUUUUGAGAUAAUUGUCAUAGAAGCUGUAAAAACUUUAACAGCAGGCUCUACUCCAAAAGCUUUUUCAUCAUCAACCUUUCUCCUAUCAACCUCAACAACAGCAACAACAACAGCAGCAACAACAACACAAAGUUUCAACUUCAGUUUAGAAAGCUCUACAUCUUCAUCCUCCUCCACUGAAAUCCUGAACCAUCCUGAGACACCUGCAGGUCCAGAUAAGCCACUUUAUGUGAUUCUGAUUCUGGUCAUCAUGAUCACCCUCUUAUCAGCCACUUUGCUGAUUUUCUACAAGAAGAGGAAGGCCAUUAAACCUAAUGGACCUCCUGUAGAAACAGAAUACGCCAAUAUCACACAGAAUAACCGAGUGUGUGAAGAGAUAAGAGACGGCAGUUCACCUCCUGUGGAAGUGUCUUCAGCUGAUGCCUAUCCCAAAACCUGCCAGCGAGCUGGAGUUGAAAACCUUGAACUUUACAGCCUCAUCACCUAUUCUCAGAGUAAAGCUGAAAAUGACACAGAUGAAGUUGAUUACACUGAAGUGGAUUUUUCCCACAUGUCUGUAACCAACAGCGCCCUCUGUGGUAAAUCAGUUCAAGAAGUUAAAGCCAAGAGGAGAAGUGUAGAGCUGUAUGACGUGUAUGGGGGAGGGAGUCCAUCAUUGAGAGAAGUGAGAAGUUCCUGGUUUGUAAGACGAGCAAUAUUAUACGAUCAGACGGUCAAUAUGAAGACAGUAUGUGGCACUGUGGUCUGUUUCAUCUUUCUCACACUGCACGAUGGAAACACUGGUCAGGUCAAAAAAGGAAUUCCCACCUAUAGAGGAAUGGAAGGAGAAAACAUCAGAGUUGAAUGCAAAUUUUCUUACUCUGGAACCAAGAAGUUCUUCUGUAAGGGAAAAUGUGAAAAAGAAAACAUCCUAAUAGCAACAACAAAGAACUCCGCUAAAAAUGGCAGAUACAGCAUUCAGUAUGUAGAAAAAGGUUUUCUGUCAUCUGAUAUUCUGUAUGUGAGCAUCGCACAGCUGAAAAAGUCUGACAUGGGACCAUACAUGUGUUUUUCGAGUAAAACCUGGCUUGGUGAUCUGAGUCAUGAGUUUUAUAUUUUUGUCACAGAAGGCUCAAGAACAAAAACAGAAACAGCAACAACAACAACAAUACCAACAACAGAGAGUUCAGUCUUCAGUUCAGAAUGUGCUGGAGUUUCAUCAGUGUCCCCUGAAACCUCAAAACAGCCCGAGAGAUCGCCUGCAAGUUCAGCUACUGCAGGUAUGCUUCCUUAUGUGGGACUGUUUCUGGCCAUUAUGAUCAUCCUCUUCUCGGCAGCUUUGCUGAUUUUCUGCAAGAACAAGAGGGCCAGUAAACACAAAGGACCUUUGGAAAAUGAAAAUGGUGACAUCACACAGGUGAACCAGCUCUAUGAAGAGAUCAGAGAAAUGGACACUUUGUCUCCCCUGGGUGUGUCCUCAGCUUACACGUACCCCAAAUACUCCCAGUCACAUGGAUUUGAAAACAUAGACCUCCACAGCCUCAGCACCCCUCCUCAGAACAAAGCUCAAGACAACUCAAGUACUCUUCAUUACUCUGAAGUCGAUUUUUCCCACAUUCCUGCCACCAACAGCGCUCCAUCUCGUAAUGCAACUGAUGUUGUUUACUCCACACCUGUGGUACAUACCAGCCCUUCCAACCACACCAAAGAUUCUUCAUCUCCUCUGUACUCAGCAGUUAAAAAACGGUAUUAAUGCUGCCGAUGGCACCUUCCCUCUCACAAAGAUCAACAGGUGAUCGUAAUUCAUAGAAAAUGAGGUUCUUUUCUGCUUAUUUAAGUGAACUGAAUGUUCAAACAAUUAGCCUCAGAUUAAUUUAUUUAAUUAUUUAGUUAUAUCUACUUUAACUUAACAGACAACUAAUUGCAUGCAUACUUUUUGGAAACUGGAGUAUUUUUCAUUAAGAAAUACAGGAAAACCCAACUGACUUGGAACAUCCGUGGCUGUAUGAGAGCAUGCAGUGGUCUCAGGUCAGUCAGCAGGUUGUUCUUGGAGGGACAUCCAUAAAUGGAGUUAGCAAAACGGCUUCUUUCACAUGUAGAAAUUUACAUCAAGCGGUUUCUUUCUUGCCCAAACCUAACAAAACUGAGACUGAAAAGUGAAUAAUGGCAUGAAAAUCUGCACAAAACUCAAAAACAUUCUGUCAGAAAACCCUAAAGACAAGUUCCACUAGUGACAGUUUCCGUUUUCUUUCUGUUGGCAAUGUAAACAAGCAAAGAAAACAAACAAAAAAAACCCCAAAAAACAAGCAAAAAACAAAAAGAUGGGUGAAUUGAUUUAAAAUAUUAUUUUAAUAAAGCUUUUGGGAUUGCACUCUUCUUGCCCGAUUAUCCAGUGUUUUCUAUCAUGCUUGGCUCCCAUAAUCUCUAUAAAACAUGGCGCAGUCUUAUCGUCCAGGCCUGAAAAGUGAAGCUGAUUUGGAAGGUUCAACAAAUCCAGCAAAGCCAAACAUGUCAGACUUUAAUGUGAAGAUGCCUAAAUCCACAGCAGAAAUAAAAUGCAACCUGCCAUAAAAAACAAAUAAAUGACCAAAACACCAAAUUGAAUGAUAGGCGCCUAGCUUUGCUCACAAACCUGCUUGUUUGUGUAAUUUUGUACUGACACAAACACUGAAAGUACUGUGUUAAUUGUUUUUAUAAUCUUAACAAUAUCUCAGUUCUGUGGGUUAUUUAAUUUGCACAAGGAUCUUUAUGUUCUUAUUUUAUUUUGCUUCAUUGUGCUCAACCUGAUUUUUAAAUCUUAAUUAAAAUAAACAUGAACAUCGACAGUUUUAACUGUAUGGUCUUCAUUGUUGGCAAAAUACUUUUAUUAAUAAAGGUAAAUGGACUGGUUCUUAUAUUGCAAUUUUCUACUCUAUUUGAAUGCUCAAAGUGCUUUAUACAACAUGCCUCAUUCACCCAUUCACAGACAUUCAUUUGUUUUUCUACAUCUAAAUGGUUUCCAUCCAACAUUUACACACAUUUAUACGUAUGCAUGUUUCUGCUAUUAAUUCACUGAAAUACAAACUAUCCUCUAGUGCAAAUGUAGUAGUACAGGUCCUGUUGUGCCUGAUGAUUUUCCCCUCUGCAGCUCUAUUGUAACACAUGCUGAUGUUUUUAUUGAUAUUGUAAACUUAUUUAUGGGAUAACAUCUGUGUCUGUGUUAAGUCAGAUGGAAGAGGACUGUGCAGUGUUGUACUGCAAGACCUCCCUGUUCUAUGUGGUGAUGACCCAGCUAUAAACCUUACCAGCAUCUACAACACUGGUAUUUUUCCCAGUGAGGAAGCACUACAUCAUAGUCGACUGAUCAAAAACUGAUCAAGUCAAAGGCACCACCUAGUGGCGAUGUAGGAGAACUCAGAAACAGUAGUGUCGUAAAACAAAUUUUCACUUCCAUCUUUAUUCAUGAAUGGAUGCAAACACACCUUUGCCGCAUUCACCACAAGUUUCACUGAACGAGACCAGCAAAGUUGGAAAAGAGAAUAUGUGUUUGGUGCAGGUAAUCUAAUUUCUAAAAUCAAAAAGAGGAGGGAAAAGAAUCAAGCUUUCAAAUUUGCGUAGAAAGAACAAGAGAAAAAAAAGGUUUGCUUUCAAAUGUCAAACUACAAACUGCAUCACAAAGCCACAGUACUGUCUAAUAAUAGUACAGAGAACAAGACAGUAAAAUUAUUAAAAACUACUUUGUUUGCAAUGACUUUUAACUACUAACUCGCUCUAGCAUGCGAGCUCACAUCACUCCUAUUUUAUGUUCUUUACAUUGGCUCCCAAUAGAUUUUAGAAUUCGUUUUAAAAUUAUUGUUUUAACGUACAGAGCACUAAAUGGCCAGGCCCCAAAUUAUUUAUCCAAGCUUCUCACAAAAUACACUGCUGCUCGCCGUCUCCGCUCACAGACUCAGAGUUUGUUGGUUGCUCCCCGAACACGACUGAAGACGAAAGGGGGCGGAGCCUUUCAGUCUGUGGCACCAGGGCUGUGGAACAGUCUACCUCUACAACUACGUUUGGUUGACUCUGUGGAAUCCUUUAAAAAAACUUUACUGUUUAAAGAAACUUUCUGUUGACCAAUGCUUUUUACAUUUUUACAUUUUUAAUUUACAUUUAACCUCUAUAUUGUGUAUAUUGUGCAUUUUGCUAUUUAUCGUACUGUUUAUUUUAAUCUUUGUGUACAGCGCUUUGUGACUACCUGUCUAUGAAAAGCACUUAAUAAAUAAACUUUA